rnacentral:rRNA from 1 species
GGAUUAGUGGCGAACGGGUGAGUAACACGUGGGCAAUCUGCCCUUCACUCUGGGACAAGCCCUGGAAACGGGGUCUAAUACCGGAUAACACUCCUGCAGGCAUCUGUGGGGGUUAAAAGCUCCGGCGGUGAAGGAUGAGCCCGCGGCCUAUCAGCUUGUUGGUGAGGUAGUGGCUCACCAAGGCGACGACGGGUAGCCGGCCUGAGAGGGCGACCGGCCACACUGGGACUGAGACACGGCCCAGACUCCUACGGGAGGCAGCAGUGGGGAAUAUUGCACAAUGGGCGAAAGCCUGAUGCAGCGACGCCGCGUGAGGGAUGACGGCCUUCGGGUUGUAAACCUCUUUCAGCAGGGAAGAAGCGAAAGUGACGGUACCUGCAGAAGAAGCGCCGGCUAACUACGUGCCAGCAGCCGCGGUAAUACGUAGGGCGCAAGCGUUGUCCGGAAUUAUUGGGCGUAAAGAGCUCGUAGGCGGUCUGUCGCGUCGGAUGUGAAAGCCCGGGGCUUAACCCCGGGUCUGCAUUCGAUACGGGCAGACUAGAGUGUGGUAGGGGAGAUCGGAAUUCCUGGUGUAGCGGUGAAAUGCGCAGAUAUCAGGAGGAACACCGGUGGCGAAGGCGGAUCUCUGGGCCAUUACUGACGCUGAGGAGCGAAAGCGUGGGGAGCGAACAGGAUUAGAUACCCUGGUAGUCCACGCCGUAAACGGUGGGAACUAGGUGUUGGCGACAUUCCACGUCGUCGGUGCCGCAGCUAACGCAUUAAGUUCCCCGCCUGGGGAGUACGGCCGCAAGGCUAAACUCAAAGGAAUUG